rnacentral:tRNA from 1 species
UAGCUCAGUGGUAGAGCACAUGCUUGACAUGCACAAGGCCCUGAGUUCAAUCCUCAG